rnacentral:rRNA from 1 species
UAGCUAGUUGGUGGGGUAAGGGCCUACCAAGGCGACGAUCGGUAGCUGGUCUGAGAGGAUGACCAGCCACACUGGAACUGAGACACGGUCCAGACUCCUACGGGAGGCAGCAGUGGGGAAUAUUGGACAAUGGGGGCAACCCUGAUCCAGCAAUGCCGCGUGUGUGAAGAAGGCCUGAGGGUUGUAAAGCACUUUCAGUGGGGAGGAGUAUUGAUGGGUUAAGAGCUAAUUAACUGGACGUUACCAACAGAAGAAGCACCGGCUAACUCCGUGCCAGCAGCCGCGGUAAUACGGAGGGUGCGAGCGUUAAUCGGAAUUACUGGGCGUAAAGAGUGCGUAGGUGGUUGAAUAAGUUAUCUGUGAAAUCCCUGGGCUUAACCUGGGCAGGUCAGAUGAUACUGUUUAACUCGAGUAUGGGAGAGGGUAGUGGAAUUUCCGGUGUAGCGGUGAAAUGCGUAGAGAUCGGAAGGAACACCAGUGGCGAAGGCGGCUACCUGGCCUAAUACUGACACUGAGGCACGAAAGCGUGGGGAGCAAACAGGAUUAGAUACCCUGGUAGUCCACGCUGUAAACGAUGUCAACUGGCUGUUGGUUAUAUGAAAAUAAUUAGUGGCGC